UGGCUGGAAGAAGUCUAGAAGAGAUUCGGAGAAUAGUCGAUCACUGUAGAAAAUUGGCUGAUAGUGAAGCUCAGAGAGUGUUUGGAGCAGUCUGAUAGAUGAAUGGAGGAGCUCAUUAUUGAAGAAGUCCGGAUGGUAUUAUGGAAGCUCAGACAGUCGGAAGAGUUCAGAAAGAUGCCGCACAAGAUCAGAAGCCGGAAGAGCCCUGGGAGGGUCGGCCUUUU
rnacentral:lncRNA from 1 species